rnacentral:rRNA from 1 species
UGGGGAAUAUUGGACAAUGGGCGAAAGCCUGAUCCAGCCAUGUCGCGUGUGUGAAGAAGGUCUUCGGAUUGUAAAGCACUUUAAGUUGGGAGGAAGGGCAUUAACCUAAUACGUUAGUGUUUUGACGUUACCGACAGAAUAAGCACCGGCUAACUCUGUGCCAGCAGCCGCGGUAAUACAGAGGGUGCAAGCGUUAAUCGGAAUUACUGGGCGUAAAGCGCGCGUAGGUGGUUUGUUAAGUUGGAUGUGAAAUCCCCGGGCUCAACCUGGGAACUGCAAUCAAAACUGACUGACUAGAGUAUGGUAGAGGGUGGUGGAAUUUCCUGUGUAGCGGUGAAAUGCGUAGAUAUAGGAAGGAACACCAGUGGCGAAGGCGACCACCUGGACUAAUACUGACACUGAGGUGCGAAAGCGUGGGGAGCAAACA